GAGCGCAUAUGCAGACUCGUCGACAUACAGGAGACCUCAAGUCUUACACGAGAUGGUUAAGCACUAUCCUGAUUAUAGAUCCGCGAGAGUGGAGGUCAACCCUUCGUCUUAGAGAAUCAGUUGGUUCGGGAGAUCGUCCAGCUAACUUAGAGAUGCGGAGGGCACCAGGGUGGGCUGCGCUAAUUGUCACCGGAAAUUUGCAGUGCCGAGCAUAGUAAGAUCCACAUAUACUCUAUGAUAAGAGAGAGAGCCAGCUGUUUAGUGGGGGAGGAUGUUGUCUCCUUCCCCCCUCUCUCUACUGGUUCGAUCACUUGGUCGUCAUCUCUAAAAGGGACUAUGUAACAUAAAUACAAUCGAAGUUUGAGGCAAUAACAGGUCUGUGAUGCCUUAUAUGUCAAGAAAAGACAAAACGUGCUACACUGAUAUAUACAACAAGUGCCUAGCUAGAUAUAGUAUGGCAAUCUCGAAUAUAUAUCGUGAUGGGGAUAGAUCUUGCAAUUAUAGAUCUUGAACGAGGAAAUUCUAGUAAUAGGCAAGUCAUCCUCUUACAAAGAUUAUUUUCCCCCCCCUUUUGCCCCCCCCCAGGCGCUCCUACCGAUACCGGGGGGGAACGGGGAAACCUGUUCGACCUUUGGGAAAAAUAAGUAAAUCAUAUCACCUAGAGGAAGGAGAAGUCGUAACAAGGUUCCUCUACCUCAGAAGGAUCAUAA
rnacentral:rRNA from 1 species